AGUUUUGCGCAGUGGCAGUAUCGUAGCCAAUGAGGUGUAUCCGAGGCGCGAUUAUUGCUAAUUGAAAACUAUAUAUAUAACGUGUAAUAUAUAUAUAUAUACAUAUAUAUAUAUAUAUAUGUAUAUAUAUAUAUAUG